rnacentral:rRNA from 1 species
UACGGGAAGGGCAAGCGUUAUCCGGCGUGACUGGGCGUAAAGAGUCCGUAGACGGUAAAGUAAGUUUAUUGUUAAAUUUUAAAACUUAAUUUUAAGAAAGCAAUAAAUACUGCUUUACUUUGAGUUUAAUAUAGAAAAGUGGAAUUUUAUAUGGUAGGGGUGAAAUGCGCAGAUAUCAGGAGGAACACCGGUGGCGAAGGCGGGUCUCUGGGCAACAACUGACGCUGAGGAGCGAAAGCGUGGGGAGCAAACAGG